rnacentral:rRNA from 1 species
UGAAUACGAGACGCUAAGGCGUCGAAGUAGUGUAUGUCAUACUUCCAAGAAAAGCUUGCACUGUCAUAGAUAAAAAACGCCUGUACCAUAACCGACACAGGUGGGUAGGUAGAGUAUACUAAGGGGCGCGAGAUAACUCUCUCUAAGGAACUCGGCAAAAUAACUCCGUAACUUCGGGAGAAGGAGUGCCUUAUUCGUAAGGUUGCAAUAACAAGAUCCAAGCAACUGUUUAUCAAAAACACAGGUCUCCGCUAAGUCGUAAGACGAUGUAUGGGGGCUGACGCCUGCCCAGUGCCAGAAGGUUAAAGAAGUUGGUUAGCAAUUGCGAAGCUGAUAACUGAAGCCCUGGUGAACGGCGGCCGUAACGAUAACGGUCCUAAGGUAGCGAAAUUCCUUGUCGGGUAAGUUCCGACCCGCACGAAAGGCGUAAUGAUUUGGAUACUGUCUCGGAGAGGGGCUCGGUGAAAUAGACUUGUCUGUGAAGAUGCGGACUACCUGCACCAGGACAGAAAGACCCUAUGAAGCUUUACUGUAACUUGAAAUUGAGAUUGGACUUUAUUCGCGCAGUAUAGGUGGGAGGCGUUGAUUAUAAUCUUGUGGGAUUAUUGGAGCCAUCAGUGAGAUACCACUCUUGUAAUGUUAGAUUUCUAACUUUGAAUCAUUAUCUGGUCAAAGAACAGUUUCAGGCGGGCAGUUCGACUGGGGCGGUCGCCUCCUAAACGGUAACGGAGGCGUACAAAGGUUUCCUCUGAACGGUUAGAAAUCGUAUCUAGAGUGUAAAGGCAUAAGGAAGCUUGACUGUGAGACCUACAAGUCGAGCAGGGACGAAAGUCGGUCUUAGUGAUCUGACGGUACUGAGUGGAAAGGCCGUCACUCAACGGAUAAAAGUUACUCUAAGGAUAACAGGCUGAUCUCCCCCAAGAGUUCACAUCGACGGGGAGGUUUGGCACCUCGAUGUCGGCUCAUCGCGUCCUGGGGCGGUAGUACGUCCCAAGGGUUGGGCUGUUCGCCCAUGAAAGCGGUACGCGAGCUGGGUUCAGAACGUCGUGAGACAGUUCGGUCCAUAUCCGGUGUAGGCGUUAGAAUAUUGAGAGGAGCCUUCUUUAGUACGAGAGGACCGAGAAGGACAUACCUCUGGUGUACCAGUUAUCGUGCCAACGGUAAACGCUGGGUAGCUAUGUAUGGAGUGGAUAACCGCUGAAAGCAUCUAAGUGGGAAGCCCACCUCAAGAUAAGUAUUCUCAUC